UACGGAGGGUGCGAGCGUUGUCCGGAAUCACUGGGCGUAAAGGGCGCGUAGGUGGCCUGUGGAAGUCUGCGGUGAAAGCCCGGCGCUCAACGCCGGGUCGGCCGUGGAUACUCUCGGGCUUGAGCUUACUAGAGGCAGAUGGAAUUCCGGGUGUAGCGGUGGAAUGCGUAGAGAUCCGGAAGAACACCGGUGGCGAAGGCGGUCUGCUGGGGUAAUGCUGACACUGGAGGCGCGACAGCGUGGGGAGCAAACAGG
rnacentral:rRNA from 1 species